ensembl:lncRNA
GGAAAGUUAAAGAAAAGACAGCAGGGAAGAAGAUGACCUGGGUAACAGCUCUGCCAUUGGCAUUAAUGGCCAUAAGAUCUUCUCCUUCUAACACCACCCUUCUCAGCCCCCAUGAAUUAGUCACAGGACGUCCCAUGCAAGGACCAUACAGCCCACCAUCCAAAGGACCCCCAUCAGACAGGUUUGAUGAAGUAAUGCAGGAAUACCUGCAAGCACUAACUCAAGCUUCUUUAAAGUUGUAUUCCCAGAUCACAGACCAGAAGCCGUCCGAUCCAGAGGAUCCUUCACCAACGUCGGUGACACCUGGCGAGUGGAUCUGGGUGAAAAAACACCAUCGAAAGACCCUAGAAGACCGGUGGGAGGGGCCAUACAAGGUACUCUUGGCCACACCCUUUUCUGUUUCUGUAGAGGACCGACGCGGGGCCCAGUGGCACCACCUGAGCCGGUGCCGCAAAGCAGAUACUCCUGGCAGAUCGUGGACUGAGACCCUGACCGACCUAGCUGCACUCCAAGCCAAGGACAAACACUCCUCAUCCCAAGACGAUGGGCCACAGCGUGCCCUUGGGAAAGUACCUGGUAGGAUUCCUUCUGGCAGUCCUGUUCCAAGAAGGAGCGGGAGACAACAUCGCCAGGAUGGACCGGGUCUACCAGGCAGAAAAGUACAUGUGCGUAAGUACCAGACGAGACGGUAGCUACAUGAGAGGUUAUUCCUGCGAGGAGUGGUCACAGGCAUCGUGGCUUACCCAUCCUGGGUACAAAGAGGGCUAUUAUCCCCUGUGGUCCAGCUACAAGGAAAUCCAAAAGGGAAUCUCCCUUACCAGAAGAUUAUAUGGCUAUAAGGAAGUCUGGAGCAAUAAUGGUCUAGCAGUCAAGGGAGAGUCAAUAUUCAUAAAGUUAAGGGCAGAUUUACUCAUUCCCGAAAACAGAUCUCAUAAGACAGACAAAGGCCUGGUUUUUCUAAUGUUAAGGGCGGAUACUUAUGGGGAAGACCUAAAAGUAGUUAUCCAUCUAUCAGGAGUUGCAUGCGGGCCCAAUAAAUUUCCAUCUAGAGGGACGUAUGAUUCCUUAGGAGCGCCACAUCUCUCACCACCCCCGGUAGUGCACCCAAAUGGAGGGACGCACAAAGAAUAUUGGGAGGUAAAGACGGGUGAGCUUGAUCAGAACAUGUGGUUAAAAUGGAUGAACUACACGGCCCGGGCCCAGGGCAAGACCAACUGCAUUAUCUGUGCCGCCGGCCGCCCCUCCUUGACCACAGCCCCCGCUAGAAUCACCCCGCAUAAUUCACCGCAAGGUUUUGUUUGUCUAUUAGAAUUGUUCGUGGACGGCCACAUCCCAGGAUGCUCAAUUGCAAUAAAAUCCAGACUAAAUAACAUGUAUCCUCAGACCCCAAUUAGAUCUAUACCCCCAAGAUUUGAAGUUAAUUUAACUCCGGACUAUCAUUGUAUCACAGGAAGGGGAACAGGGAGAAAAGUGGG